rnacentral:rRNA from 1 species
GACGUAGGGCGCGAGCGUUGUCCGGAUUUAUUGGGCGUAAAGAGCUCGUAGGCGGCUUGUCGCGUCGUCCGUGAAAACCUGCGGCUCAACUGCAGGCUGGCGGUCGAUACGGGCAGGCUGGAGUUCGGUAGGGGAGACUGGAAUUCCAGGUGUAGCGGUGAAAUGCGUAGAUAUCUGGAGGAACACCGGUGGCGAAGGCGGCAUUCUGGACCGAUAUUGACGCUGAGGAGCGAAAGCCAGGGGAGCAAACGGG